rnacentral:tRNA from 1 species
GGGCGUGUGGCGGAACUGGCAGACGCGCUAGACUUAGGAUCUAGUGGGGUAACCUGUGGAGGUUCGAGUCCUCUCACGCCCACCA